rnacentral:tRNA from 1 species
AGCCGCAUAGCUUAGUUGGUAAAGCGUCGGACUCUGACUCCGGAGAGCGCUGGUUCGAGCCCAGCUGCGGUUG